GCGGCGGGGGCGGCUCUGGGGCGUCCCGGUGAUCCCGGUGUUCCCGGCGCGUCCCUCGCUGUCAUGUCGGCCCUGGAGAAGCAGCUGCAUCUGGGCCGCCUCCCUCCUCGGCCCCCGUUGCCCGGCGGCGGCGGCCAGUCCGGGUCCAAGAUGCGCAUGGGCCCUGGAAGAAAGCGUGAUUUUUCUCCAGUGCUUUGGAGCCAGUACUUUGAGUCUAUGGAGGAUGUUGUGGUAGAAAAUGACACUGGCAAGGAUACUUUUCGAAUUUACAAAAGUGGGCUGGAGGGGCCUGUCUUGCUGCUGUUACACGGUGGAGGCCACUCUGCUCUGUCCUGGGCUGUGUUUACUUCUGCAAUCAUUAACAGGAUCCAGUGUAGGAUUGUGGCUUUGGACCUCCGAGGCCAUGGAGAAACAAAAGUAAGGAAUCCUGAAGAUCUGUCUGCAGAGACUAUGUCAAAGGACGUGGGGAACGUGGUGGAAGCCCUGUACGGGGACCUGCCCCCGCCCAUCAUGCUGAUCGGGCACAGCAUGGGGGGGGCCAUCGCCGUGCACACGGCCGUCGCAAACCUGGUGCCCAGCUUGCUGGGGCUCUGCAUGAUCGACGUCGUGGAAGGUACAGCCAUGGAUGCCUUGAACAGCAUGCAGAACUUCCUAAGGAGUCGUCCCAAAACAUUCAAGUCACUGGAGAAUGCCAUUGAGUGGAGUGUAAAAAGUGGACAGAUAAGAAAUCUCGAAUCUGCCAGAGUUUCUAUGGUUGGUCAAGUCAAACAGUGCGAAGGGGCUGCCAGUCCUGAAUGCCCUAAAGCCAUAGUAGAGGGAAUUAUUGAGGAAGAGGAGGAGGAGGAGGAGGAUGAGGAAGGAGGAGGCUCUGUCAACAAAAGGAAGAAAGAGGAUGACACGGAGACAAAGAAGGAGCAUUUAUACACGUGGCGAAUCGAACUGGCCAAAACAGAAAAGUACUGGGAUGGCUGGUUCAGGGGUUUAUCCAACCUCUUCCUAAGCUGUCCAACUCCAAAGCUUUUGCUUUUAGCUGGUGUUGACAGGCUGGAUAAAGAUCUGACCAUUGGACAGAUGCAAGGGAAGUUCCAGAUGCAGGUCCUCCCACAGUGUGGCCAUGCAGUCCAUGAAGAUGCUCCAGACAAGGUAGCUGAAGCUGUUGCAACGUUCCUGAUCCGUCACAGGUUUACAGAGCCCAUUGGUGGAUUCCAGUGGUAAGGCUCCAUGGAGUUGUGUCCCUGAGCAGAGCUCCUGCUCUCACUGUUUGGCUCUUGAGGUGGGAGAUUGAAAUUUUAGCAUGGUGCUAAAAAACAGAGUGUGUUUCCUGCUUGUUAAUAUCCUGAUGUUCUCCAGCACUGAUUCCCAUUGUAAAUAAACUGCACCAGAGGCCACUGUGAUGUAUCCAUAUCCUCUCAUCUCCCAGUCCAGCAGCAGUGAGAAGUUGGUGUGAGAUUCAUCCCCUAGAACUAGUUCUCCAGAAUACCUAAAUUGUUAGGGACUUUCCCUUGCUGGGAAGCAGCUUCUACUGAAGACCAUGAAAAGCUCUUCAGGCCCUUGGAAGUGGGAUCCUCUUCUCUGCUGCCACAAGGAAAGACCUCCUGGAAUCCCAUGUAGUCAAUCAUACCAAUCUCCAUCAAUUCUCAGGCUUUCUUGGACCCAACUGCAGAAGGGCUGUUGGCAGUCCAGAUCCACUGAGGGCAUUGCAGCACAGCCAAAGGCUUCAGGAUUUCUCUGUGGAAUCAGAAUCAUCUUGGAAGUGCCCCUUAGGUUUGGGUUUUAUAUAUACACUUUUUUUCCCCCUAAAGCAGAAGAGGAAUUGGCUUCAUUGUGAGCUCAGGUUUCAUCUCACCAGCGCCAGCCUUAGAGGUUAAGCUGUGGCUGGAGGCCACUCUCCUGGGCAAAAUUGGAUGGGAUUGUAAACCAGAAAGGUGAGGGGGGGACCGUGAGCUCCAUUUCAGAGUCUUGCAGUUUUUCUAGUGCUUGUUUCAAGUCAUCUCUGGGAAGAAGAGCCUGGAUAACUCCAUGUACUCCAUCUACUACAGACACAUCCCAGGCCGGAGGACUCUGAACCUGUGUUUAUGGAGAAGGCCCAAAAGCAGCAGGGACAACGUGCUCAACAGGCAGUUUGGCUGUUUUCGGCCCCUGGAAUGUGUUUGUUCUUCCCUUCUUGUAGCUGCCACACACAGCUGAGCAGAGAUCAGCGCCUUUGGGAUGGAAAAACAUGGAAUGGGCUGUAGAAAAAUCCCUGGGAGAGCUUGGAGUCAGUCCUGCUGAUGAUGCAGAGGUGUAGGCAGCUGUUCUGCCCAGUAUUGGAGGAAGGACCUUUUUUCCACUGUUGCUUCCUAGAUCAUUUUGCUGCCUGCCUUCCAGAAUUCCAUGUGCACAGAGAGCUUUUCUUUAGGGUCCAGUUAUCCACAGACAGUUCCUGGGAUUGCUUUCACCUAAGAGUCACUUUUGAGUGUAAAAGCAGACAUGUUUUGGAGCCGUUUUCCUCAAUAUUUUGCUGGUGGAUGUCUGAAAUCCCUUUUUUUUGCCUGGUGUCCAUAACCCCUUGCUGCUGUCCAAUGAUUUUAACCCCGCUCUGCUGAGGCAAAGUUCUGUGGUGAUUUGGGAACUGCCCUGUGCAUCCCAUGACAACAGCCAUCAGGAAUUCUUGGCAUUUGAGAGGUGCAAAUGGGGCAAAGGGUUUUACCAUGGCCUUGGGCCUGGUAGAGAUCCAUUUAGCUGGGAUUCACAGGGCACAGCAGCCGUGUGGCCUUGCUCCGUGUCCCUUCCCUGACAUACCAGGUUGGGAAGCGCCUGGAUUAGAGACAAAAUCCUCCAGAGAAGAAUGCCCUCCUGGCACUUUGGCCAUAGGCACUCAGGUGUUACAAGAGCAAUUGCUGGCUCUCUGCGCUUCCCUCUGUGAGUCACUGUGUUAAUGCAUUCAUUUGAUGUAGCAUCCAUCCUGGAUGGAUUCAAUGGAUCUUCAGUAGUCAAGAUGCAAAAUAGUUCUCUCCCCAGCCAUGUUCCCAGAAUGGCCAAAAUCCUCUUUUGCAGGCAACUCCUUUGUUCAGAUUGUCAGGGAUUAAAUAAUCCAGCGUGUAUAUCCAGAGUCUCACUUCCCGAGAUCAUCCUCCUGAAUGAUGGUGGUGAAGUCGCAUUCCUCUGUGGUGAAGUAACUUGGAGAGUCUGACUUGGAGUGAUUCCUCGCGUUAUCCCUUUGAUUUGUGAGCUCGUAAAAAAGCCCAAGCAAACGGAACCCUCUGUGGAAAGCAAAUGAAUUUUGUAUUCUGUAGAAGCACCGCUGGAAAAGGAAUGAUUUCCGAAGUCCUGUGGGCUCCCUGGGAUUCUGUUUUGUUGUUAACACUGAGUGAGUGAAAAGAAAAUAAAUAUUUCAAGAGCCUA